GUACACUCCUACGGGAGGCAGCAGUGGGGAAUUUUGGACAAUGGGCGAAAGCCUGAUCCAGCAAUGCCGCGUGAGUGAAGAAGGCCUUCGGGUUGUAAAGCUCUUUUGUCAGGGAAGAAACGGUGAAAGCUAAUAUCUUUUGCUAAUGACGGUACCUGAAGAAUAAGCACCGGCUAACUACGUGCCAGCAGCCGCGGUAAUACGUAGGGUGCAAGCGUUAAUCGGAAUUACUGGGCGUAAAGCGUGCGCAGGCGGUUUUGUAAGUCUGAUGUGAAAUCCCCGGGCUCAACCUGGGAAUUGCAUUGGAGACUGCAAGGCUAGAAUCUGGCAGAGGGGGGUAGAAUUCCACGUGUAGCAGUGAAAUGCGUAGAUAUGUGGAGGAACACCGAUGGCGAAGGCAGCCCCCUGGGUCAAGAUUGACGCUCAUGCACGAAAGCGUGGGGAGCAAACAGGAUUAGAAACCCCUGUAGUCCCAU
rnacentral:rRNA from 1 species